rnacentral:rRNA from 1 species
CAGUAGCCGCGGUAAUACGUAGGUGGCGAGCGUUGUCCGGAAUUAUUGGGCGUAAAGGGCUCGCAGGCGGUUUCUUAAGUCUGAUGUGAAAGCCCCCGGCUCAACCGGGGAGGGUCAUUGGAAACUGGGAAACUUGAGUGCAGAAGAGGAGAGUGGAAUUCCACGUGUAGCGGUGAAAUGCGUAGAGAUGUGGAGGAACACCAGUGGCGAAGGCGACUCUCUGGUCUGUAACUGACGCUGAGGAGCGAAAGCGUGGGGAGCGAACAGGAUUAGAUACCCCCGUAGUCCCUGUCUCUUAUAC